CACUUGAUUUAUUCACUCAAAAAUGAUUUGACUUAUAAAAUUUAAGAAAGCAUAACAUUUAUUUUAAGGCUGAUAUCAAUUUAGCUUAAAAUAGUACUUUUGUGCUUGACUUCGGUUUUUUAACUGUCUUCGUGAAACAACUUAAAAGAGGAAUCUAUCAAUGGGACGAUUUUCACAACUAAGAUAAUUCACUUCUUUAUUCAGUUUGAAAACCUAACCGUUACAACCCCACACCAGUAGGGGGCCGCUGCUCUGAGCAGACCGAUUCCCCCGUUAGAAGAAGAGAAAGCCACAGGACGGACCACGCGGCUCAGCUCACGGAGAGAUGAAUCCGGAUGGAGACAUUUGAGGAGAAGAUGGAUUAUCUGCUCAUGCUCUACAGGAGCUCCAUGUCACCUCGCUCUGCUCCAAAUCACAGCGUGCCAUUUGCCCAACAGCAGCUGGGCCAAAUAUCCAGUUAAAAAAAUAUGGCUGUGUACAGAUUCCUACGCCAAAGCUGUGGACCGGUGUCGGCGGCUGAGGGACACCAGCAUCCAGACAGAAGAUGAAGCAAGUGUC